UUGGUACUCCCUCCAUCCGGAACUACUUAUCGCAGAAAUGGAUGUAUCUAGAUGUAUUUUCAGUUCUGGAUACAUCCACUUCUGACGAUUUCUGCGACAGGUAAUUUGCGAUGGAAGGAGUAAUAU
rfam:Hordeum vulgare subsp. vulgare, WGS project CAJW01000000 data, contig: morex_contig_274407